UACGUAGGGGGCAAGCGUUGUCCGGAAUUAUUGGGCGUAAAGCGCGCGCAGGCGGUUUCUUAAGUCUGGUGUCUAAGUGCGGGGCUCAACCCCGUGAUGCACUGGAAACUGGGAAGCUUGAGUGCAGAAGAGGAGAGCGGAAUUCCACGUGUAGCGGUGAAAUGCGUAGAGAUGUGGAGGAACACCAGUGGCGAAGGCGGCUCUCUGGACUGUAACUGACGCUGAGGCGCGAAAGCGUGGGGAGCAAACAGG
rnacentral:rRNA from 1 species